UACGAAGGGUGCAAGCGUUGUUCGGAUUUAUUGGGCGUAAAGGGCGCGUAGGCGGAUGUGCAAGUCAGGUGUGAAAUCUCGGGGCUCAACCCCGAAACUGCGCCUGAAACUGCUCGUCUAGAAUCUUGGAGAGGGAAGUGGAAUUUCGCAUGUAGGGGUAAAAUCCGUAGAGAUGCGAAGGAACACCAGAGGCGAAGGCGGCUUCCUGGACAAGUAUUGACGCUGAGGCGCGAAAGCGUGGGGAUCAAACAGG
rnacentral:rRNA from 1 species